UACGAAAUGGGCUAGCGUUGUUCGGAAUUACUGGGCGUAAAGCGCACGUAGGCGGCCUUGUAAGAUGGGGGUGAAAUCCCUGGGCUCAACCCAGGAACUGCCUUCAUGACUGCAAAGCUCGAGGAUGUGAGAGGUUGGCGGAAGUCCGAGUGUAGAGGAGAAAUUCGUAGAUAUUCGGAAGAACACCGGUGGCGAAGGCGGCCAACUGGGACAUUUCUGACGCUGAGGUGCGAAAGCGUGGGGAGCAAACAGG
rnacentral:rRNA from 1 species